UUAAUGCGUUAACUUCAGCACUAAGGGGCGGAAACCCCCUAACACCUAGCACUCAUCGUUUACGGCGUGGACUACCAGGGUAUCUAAUCCUGUUUGCUACCCACGCUUUCGCGCCUCAGCGUCABUUACAGACCAGAGAGUCGCCUUCGCCACUGGUGUUCCUCCACAUAUCUACGCAUUUCACCGCUACACGUGGAAUUCCACUCUCCUCUUCUGUACUCAAGUUCCCCAGUUUCCAAUGACCCUCCACGGUUGAGCCGUGGGCUUUCACAUCAGACUUAAGAAACCGCCUGCGCGCGCUUUACGCCCAAUAAUUCCGGACAACGCUUGCCACCUACGUAUUACCGCGGCUGCUGGCACGUAGUUAGCCGUGGCUUCCUCGUUAGGUACCGUCAAGGUACCAGCAGUUACUCUGGUACUUGUUCUUCCCUAACAACAGAACUUUACGAUCCGAAGACCUUCAUCGUUCACGCGGCGUUGCUCCGUCAGACUUUCGUCCAUUGCGGAAGAUUCCCUACUGCUGCCUCCCGUAGAGUCUGGGCCGUGUCUCAGUCCCAGUGUGGCCGAUCACCCUCUCAGGUCGGCUACGCAUCGUCGCCUU
rnacentral:rRNA from 1 species